UGGGGAAUCUUGCACAAUGGGGGCAACCCUGAUGCAGCGACGCCGCGUGAGCGAUGAAGCCCUUCGGGGCGUAAAGCUCUUUCGACCGGAACGAUAAUGACGGUACCGGGAGAAGAAGCUGCGGCUAACUGCGUGCCAGCAGCCGCGGUAAUACGUAGGCAGCAAGCGUUGUUCGGAGUUACUGGGCGUAAAGAGUGCGUAGGCGGUUUUCUAAGUUCGGUGUGAAAUCUCCCGGCUUAACUGGGAGGGUGCGCCGAAGACUGGGAAGCUGGAGUGUGGGAAAGGCAGGCGGAAUUCCUGGUGUAGCGGUGAAAUGUGUAGAUAUCAGGAGGAACACCGGCGGUGUAGACGGCUUGCUAGACCAUAACUGACGCUGAGGCACGAAAGCGUGGGUAGCAAACA
rnacentral:rRNA from 1 species